rnacentral:rRNA from 1 species
GACGAACGCUGGCGGCGUGCCUAACACAUGCAAGUCGAACGGAAAGGCCCGGCUUUUGUGGGGUGGUCGAGUGGCGAAGGGGGGAGUAACACGUGAGUAACAUGUCCCUGACUGAGGGAGAACUUCAGGAAACAGGGGCUAAUACGGGAUAGGAGCUAUUGCUGCAGGGUGGGGGUUGGAAAGAUUCGGCUGUUGGGGAUGGAAUAGCGGCUUAUGAGCUUGUUGGGGGGGUAGUGGAUUACCAGGGCUUUGAAGGGUAGCCGGCCUGGGCGGGUGACCGGCCACAUUGCGCCUGAGAUACGGCCCAGACUCCUACCUUAGGCAACGGUGGAGAAUAUUACACAAUGGGCGGGAGCCUGAUCCGACAACGCCCCGUGCGGGAUGACCUCCUUCGGGUUGUGAACCGCUGUCGCCUUUGCCGAGGCGUUAGUGACGGUAACGGGUAAAGAAGCACCGGCUAACUACGUG